rnacentral:rRNA from 1 species
UACAUAGGGGUCAAGCGUUGUCCGGAUUUAUUGGGCGUAAAGAGUAUGUAGGCGGCUAUUUAAGUCAGACGUGUAAGCCCACGGCUCAACCGUGGAAUUGCGUUUGAAACUAUUUAGCUUGAGUUCAGGAGAGGAAGGCGGAAUUCCCAGUGUAGCGGUGAAAUGCAUUGAUAUUGGGAAGAACACCGGUGGCGAAGGCGGCCUUCUGGUCUGAUACUGACGCUGAGAUACGAAAGCCAGGGGAGCGAACGGG